rnacentral:rRNA from 1 species
UACGUAGGGUGCAAGCGUUGUCCGGAGUUAUUGGGCGUAAAGAGCUCGUAGGCGGUCUGUCGCGGCGGACGUGAAAAUCCAGGGCUCAACCCUGGACCUGCGUUCGAUACGGGCAGACUAGAGUUCGGUAGGGGAGACUGGAAUUCCUGGUGUAGCGGUGAAAUGCGCAGAUAUCAGGAGGAACACCGGUGGCGAAGGCGGGUCUCUGGGCCGAAACUGACGCUGAGGAGCGAAAGCGUGGGGAGCGAACAGG